UUCGGUGCGCCUCCCAGUUCCCCGCCCGACUAUCUCCAUGUCGCCUCCCCCAUAAUCAUCGCGGUUGUGCGGCGACGGUUCCCCAUUCCUUCGUCGCGCCGCCUCCCCCAUAUCACGCCGCGCCGUGGCCAGCCCCUUGCCAUGGUAAGCCCCGUCCAUGGCUACUGCUGACAGGGGUAAUAAGGAGGAGCCGUUCCCCAUGUGCGCCCAAUCUGCAGAGCGACGGCACCGCGCCGCCCCCACUCCUCCCCCGCCGUCUUCUCAACAGAUGGGAAAGGUUGAUGCGACGGUGAGAUUGGCUUCGUACCGUUGCUCACCCGCUCUAGACUACCGCGAUCCCGUGAGCGUGAGCGCGAGGAAGAAGAAGGACUGAAGGAGGCGAGGAGCCAGGAUAAGGGGGUUGUGACUGCGUGGGUGAGCUCUGGUGGACUUACCCCAAUUUUAGGGUUCGUUCGUUCGCUGCCUAAGAUUCUCCUUUUCUGAAUCUCAACUGCUCCUGCGCCAUGGCGGACCAGGUCUUGUCGAUCUUUUCUUGUGCAGCAGCACACACUACCGAUUAGGAGAUGCUCUACUGUUUCUCUUGCUCUUCCAGUUUCACUAUGCCUUUUGUGAUUCUAAUUAUUUUACAUCCUCAGGUUUUGCCUCUUUUCCUAUUUGCGCAGGUACGUUGUUGUGGAUCUUACCUUGCAGUUGCACCAGCGACACUGCUGCAACAAGUACUGAGUGAUCCAAAUGAUUUUCAGAAGAUGGUUCAGGGAGUGACAGAGUCAACUCUUAGCAUCUUACAGUUUCACAAUCUCAGCUCAUGUUGGAAGACUAUCUAAGGUGAUGCAAGAGUUUAUACUGGCCAAUUGAGUGUAUGCAUUAUUUUUAUGCAUUAACAUAGAAUGUAUCAUUGAAAAGAACUACCAUUGUAGUAUACUGCAUUCGUGAACUUUACAUUCAGAAACUAAUCCUAAUCUACAGCCACGGCUGCAGCGCUGACACAGAUGGGCGGCAGGGAACGCCGGAGUUGCUAAUAGACAUGUCCAUUGAAUGUGACACAAGCCGUGCGUGGCGUGUCCUUGCUGAGUUGAGUAGAAAAAAUUAAACAUGUGUCACAUCACGCGGACUAUCUGAUAAAACCAUGGUUAGGGGGAUGACAUUCCAGUUUAUCAAGGUUACGAGACUAUUUAGAAGGUUUGCAUCUGUUGUCUAAAAAGCGUUAACCUGACCUCGAGCAAGAGAAUGAGAUAUUCGUGUUGCCACAAUUCCAUAGGCCAAUCACUUUCUUGGCUUCCUGGAAGAGGAUACUUGCUGCAACUCAAUUACUGCCCCUUUACCUCUAGAUUUAUGCCGAGCAUGUUUGCUGAAAGUGAAGUUCUUCAUCUUGCCGUGGGUAUUGGAUUACAUGCAUGUUCUUGUUUUAGUUGUAAUCCCUAUCUAUAUUAGUAUAUUCAACAAACUUCUUGGCUAAUUUUCGGUACGCAAAAUUACAGAGGUUGCAAGUAGAACGAGUGCAAAUUUCAACUUAAAUCAUAUUUAACGAUGCUUUCAUGUGCAUUCUUCUCAUACGUUGCCCCGCUAAAUGUUGAUUACAUAAUUUCUCCUCUGUAAUUUUGGAAUUAGUUUGUUUCAGCUUUCAUUCAGCCAUAGCUGGAGCAGGCACUAUCAAAGUAUACACUCACUAUCACUAUCAGUAUCACCGGGAAGCCCAACCUCAAGUGGAACUAUGUUGCUGGCUAUGAGUCUGCCAAGUAGACUGGUAAAAUUCCCAAAGUUUUUGACAGGUAACCUUCGGUGAGGAUGCAAGCUGCAAGCGCUCCUUGAGUUAGCCCGUUCCGAAAACCCGAUGGACAAGAAGGCAUGGAACGUCCCAGGCAAUGAGUUAUCAUGGCAGCAGAUGUCUAAAACAUUGCGCGUGCCCUGAGAAGAAAGAUAGGACGGAAUAAAUGAUGGCAAAGAUGAAGGAACAGAGAGUGUUUCUUCUGCAAAUGAGGCACGAGAAGAAAGAUAGAAGAGAUGAAUUCACUGAUUCCAACGUAUAGGUAUUGCAACUUCUUUCACUUGUGCAUUCCUGUUAUCAUUCUGAACUUGGUUUGAUCUCAUUCCCUGCUGUAGCUGUUAGCCGAGUAGAAUGCCAAAUAUAGGGACAAGUUUGGUUUUGCAUGGAAGAUAUGUGAUCCUAGCAGGGCUGCCCUUGAGGUUUAUCUACUCACCGCAUCUUUCCAAAAAUAUCUUACAAGAAGAUCAUUAGCUUUUUUUUUUGACUUUGUGGUUUUACAACCGAAUAAGCAGAAUUACUGGUUUUGUACUGCUGCACUUCGACUGAUGAUUUUCCGCACUCUCCGUUCUUCUUCAAGUAAUCAUUCAUACAUUAUCACCACUUUGAAAGAAUCUAGGCAUCUUAUUGAUUUAUUUGCUGAUGAGAAACCAGCUUACUCAUGAGAUCGCUAAGUAGCCAGGAGAGAGUUGAAUGGAGUUUUUAGGUGUGUGUUGGAGAUAGUGUGCAUAAGCUAUGUAUCACCAAAUAAAUCUGCCGAGGGUGACACUAUGGGUGAUGGAGUCAAUGAAUCCGCUUGCAUUGGCGGAUGGCGCACACGGCGGACGAGGCGGCAUGGUGCUUAAUGCGGCUUUCGAUGCGUGCCCCGAAAAGGGUGAAAUCUCGGCUAAGGGAAAGACCAUGUUAGAGUAAGAUCCUAACUCCGUGCCAUGGAAGAUAAGCUUAAUUACAGGAUAUUUAAAGACUUGGAUCCAGUACUACAGAAUUAGAUUGCAUUGUUGGUUUUUAUUCCUCAUGUUUGUAGUUCUACCCUUUCGAAUGUUUUUUACUGCCUUUAUGAUAUCUACUUGUAACACACUUCGGAAUUUGUCCUAUAUUUUUUGGUCCAAGUAAGAUUUGCACUUACUCACCACUGAUUUGUUUUUGACAUGGCGAGGCUGACGCUAAUGAAUUGGUGGGAUCUACUUCUUUUGGUAUUGUUCUUCUAGCCGCCAGAGUUUAAAAAUCCUAUAUAAGGAAACUACUACUUCAACGAUACAUCUAUUACGGCAUUCUGUAAGCUAGACUUUUUGUUCUCUAACGAUUGCUUAUCACAUUAGAACUGAAUAUGCUAUGUUGAUGACUUUUAUUUCCAGUCUUUCUGGGUGGUGUCAUAUUAGUAGGCUGCAAAAUAGAUAGCUUCAUGUUGCUUUUUAUAUUUUUAUGGUUGAUACAUGUCUCAACCCUAGCUGAUUCACGAUUGUAAACUUUUGAAUAUUUGAAACACUGUAAUAAAUAAAAAGUUGUGUCCUUGUUCAAAAAAAAAAAACUGUGUGCAUCAACAGAUGCUGGGGUUUCUCCCCAUUUCAAAAAAAGAAUUUUGAAUAGAUAGUGACUUAGUAAACAUUAUAUUCUCGAUGUGUAAAUGGCAAGUUUUAAAUGAUUAUAAUAUCUUGUAUGGGAUGAUUUGUUUUUGGACAGAAACAGGAGAAGCUCUACUCUCUAUUGCCAAAAGGAAAGCUUCCAGGGCAUCGGGAAGAAAAUGUUCACAAAAAGCAUAGAACUAGAGCUUAGGGUUGGCUUUAGAACUAGAAGUAGAAGUUAAAAGUAUUGUAGAUCAACGCUGGAGGAUGGUGAACUCUGAUUACUAAACUAGAAAAUAAUUUUAUUGUUUUUGGAAUAGUAUGAGACUAUAUCUUUUUUUGUUCACAUGAACU